AAACCAACAGGGAUUGCCCUAGUAACGGCGAGUGAAGCGGCAACAGCUCAAAUUUGAAAGCUGGCCUUCGGGUCCGCAUUGUAAUUUGUAGAGGAUGCUUUGGGGCAGCCGCCUGUCUAAGUUCCUUGGAACAGGACGUCAUAGAGGGUGAGAAUCCCGUAUGUGACAGGACAUGGCACCCUAUGUAAAGCUCCUUCGACGAGUCGAGUUGUUUGGGAAUGCAGCUCUAAAUGGGAGGUAAAUUUCUUCUAAAGCUAAAUACCGGCGAGAGACCGAUAGCGCACAAGUAGAGUGAUCGAAAGAUGAAAAGCACUUUGGAAAGAGAGUUAAAAAGCACGUGAAAUUGUUGAAAGGGAAGCGCUUGCAAUCAGACUUGUUUUGACUGUUCGGCCGGUCUUCUGACCGGUUUACUCAGUCUGGACAGGCCAGCAUCAGUUUUGGCGGCCGGAUAAAGGCCUAGGGAAUGUGGCUCUCGCUUCGGCGGGAGUGUUAUAGCCCUGGGUGUAAUACGGCCAGCCGGGACUGAGGUCCGCGCUUCGGCUAGGAUGCUGGCGUAAUGGUUGUAAGCGACCCGUCUUGA
rnacentral:rRNA from 1 species